UUUAAAAAAAAAAAAAAAAGAAACUCAGUAUCUAGCAUCGUUGGUUUUCUUGGCUUCGUGCUGUUAAACCUGGUAUUUUUAUUGAAACAGUA
ensembl:snoRNA